rnacentral:rRNA from 1 species
GACGAACGCUGGCGGCGUGCUUAACCCAUGCAAGUCGAACGGAAAGGCCCUGCUUUUGUGGGGUGCUCGAGUGGCGAACGGGUGAGUAACACGUGAGUAACCUGCCCUUGACUUUGGCAUAACUUCAGGAAACUGGGGCUAAUACCGGAUAGGAGCUCCUGCUGCAUGGUGGGGGUUGGAAAGUUUCGGCGGUUGGGGAUGGACUCGCGGCUUAUCAGCUUGUUGGUGGGGUAGUGGCUUACCAAGGCUUUGACGGGUAGCCGGCCUGAGAGGGUGACCGGCCACAUUGGGACUGAGAUACGGCCCAGACUCCUACGGGAGGCAGCAGUGGGGAAUAUUGCACAAUGGGCGGAAGCCUGAUGCAGCAACGCCGCGUGCGGGAUGACGGCCUUCGGGUUGUAAACCGCUUUCGCCUGUGACGAAGCGUGAGUGACGGUAAUGGGUAAAGAAGCACCGGCUAACUACGUG